rnacentral:rRNA from 1 species
UACGAAGGGGGCUAGCGUUGUUCGGAUUUACUGGGCGUAAAGCGCACGUAGGCGGUUCGUUAUGUCGGAUGUGAAAGCCCUUGGCUUAACCGAGGAAGUGCAUCCGAAACUGGCGAGCUAGAGUACGAAAGAGGAUCGCGGAAUUCCCGGUGUAGAGGUGAAAUUCGUAGAUAUCGGGAGGAACACCGGUGGCGAAGGCGGCGAUCUGGGUCGAUACUGACGCUGAGGUGCGAAAGCGUGGGGAGCAAACAGG